rnacentral:misc_RNA from 1 species
GAUGAAGAACGCAGCGAAAUGCGAUAAGUAAUGUGAAUUGCAGAAUUCAGUGAAUCAUCGAAUCUUUGAACGCGCAUUGCGUCCUCUGGUAUUCCGGGGGGCAUGCCUGUUCGAGCGUCAUUACAACCCUCAAGCUUUGCUUGGUAUUGGACAUUGCCAGUUUCUGGCAGGUCUUAAAAUCAGUGGCGGUGCCAUUUGGCUUCAAGCGUAGUAAUUCUUCUCGCUUUGGAGAUCCAAGUGGUUACUUGCCAAUAACCCCCAAUUUUUUCAGGUUGACCUCGGAUCAGGUAGGGAUACCCGCUGAACUUAAGCAUAUCAAUAAGCGGAGGA